UUGAACGCUGGCGGCAGGCCUAACACAUGCAAGUCGAGCGGUAACACAGAGAGCUUGCUCUCGGGUGACGAGCGGCGGACGGGUGAGUAAUGUCUGGGAAACUGCCUGAUGGAGGGGGAUAACUACUGGAAACGGUAGCUAAUACCGCAUAACGUCGCAAGACCAAAGUGGGGGACCUUCGGGCCUCAUGCCAUCAGAUGUGCCCAGAUGGGAUUAGCUAGUAGGUGGGGUAACGGCUCACCUAGGCGACGAUCCCUAGCUGGUCUGAGAGGAUGACCAGCCACACUGGAACUGAGACACGGUCCAGACUCCUACGGGAGGCAGCAGUGGGGAAUAUUGCACAAUGGGCGCAAGCCUGAUGCAGCCAUGCCGCGUGUGUGAAGAAGGCCUUCGGGUUGUAAAGCACUUUCAGCGGGGAGGAAGGCGGUGAGGUUAAUAACCUCAUCGAUUGACGUUACCCGCAGAAGAAGCACCGGCUAACUCCGUGCCAGCAGCCGCGGUAAUACGGAGGGUGCAAGCGUUAAUCGGAAUUACUGGGCGUAAAGCGCACGCAGGCGGUCUGUCAAGUCGGAUGUGAAAUCCCCGGGCUCAACCUGGGAACUGCAUUCGAAACUGGCAGGCUAGAGUCUUGUAGAGGGGGGUAGAAUUCCAGGUGUAGCGGUGAAAUGCGUAGAGAUCUGGAGGAAUACCGGUGGCGAAGGCGGCCCCCUGGACAAAGCCUGACGCUCAGGUGCGAAAGCGUGGGGAGCAAACAGGAUUAGAUGCCCUGGUAGUACACGCCGUAAACGAUGUCGAUUUGGAGGUUGUGCCCUUGAGGCGUGGCUUCCGGAGCUAACGCGUUAAAUCGACCGCCUGGGGAGUACGGCCGCAAGGUUAAAACUCAAAUGAAUUGACGGGGGCCCGCACAAGCGGUGGAGCAUGUGGUUUAAUUCGAUGCAACGCGAAGAACCUUACCUGGUCUUGACAUCCACAGAACUUUCCAGAGAUGGAUUGGUGCCUUCGGGAACUGUGAGACAGGUGCUGCAUGGCUGUCGUCAGCUCGUGUUGUGAAAUGUUGGGUUAAGUCCCGCAACGAGCGCAACCCUUAUCCUUUGUUGCCAGCGGUUAGGCCGGGAACUCAAAGGAGACUGCCAGUGAUAAACUGGAGGAAGGUGGGGAUGACGUCAAGUCAUCAUGGCCCUUACGACCAGGGCUACACACGUGCUACAAUGGCAUAUACAAAGAGAAGCGACCUCGCGAGAGCAAGCGGACCUCAUAAAGUAUGUCGUAGUCCGGAUUGGAGUCUGCAACUCGACUCCAUGAAGUCGGAAUCGCUAGUAAUCGUAGAUCAGAAUGCUACGGUGAAUACGUUCCCGGGCCUUGUACACACCGCCCGUCACACCAUGGGAGUGGGUUGCAAAAGAAGUAGGUAGCUUAACCUUCGGGAGGGCGCUUACCACUUUGUGAUUCAUGACUGGGGUG
rnacentral:rRNA from 1 species